UACGUAGGGUGCAAGCGUUAUUCGGAAUUACUGGGCGUAAAGCGUGCGCAGGCGGUUAUGCAAGUCAGAUGUGAAAUCCCCGGGCUCAACCUGGGAACUGCAUUUGUGACUGCAUGGCUAGAGUGCGGCAGAGGGGGAUGGAAUUCCGCGUGUAGCAGUGAAAUGCGUAGAUAUGCGGAGGAACACCGAUGGCGAAGGCAAUCCCCUGGGCCUGCACUGACGCUCAUGCACGAAAGCUAGGGGAGCAAACAGG
rnacentral:rRNA from 1 species